AAAUUAGAGAUGCCAAGGAUUGCCCAAGCAGUUGGGGCAAAUUAGCAGCUACAAUAUACAUUAUUCAUUUGUGCAAAAAAGUGGAAACCUUUAAUACUGAGAUGUCAUGUUUAUUUUUUUCACUAUAUGCCACUUACUUUGCACUCAAUUGGAACAACAGAGAAACCUGGCACUAUGGAGGCUGGAGACACCAAGGAACAAGAAAAGAACCAGCAGAUCAAUGGGCUGCAGCAGAAGUCAGAAAUGACUCAAACUGCAGUUGAAGGGGAGAGUGAUGCAGGAAAAGCAGAGAUUGCUGAGAAAGAAACUAAAGAGGACAGAAAGUUUGCAGAAGAAACUGGGAAAGAGGUGGAUGAUGCAAAUGAAGCAGAGAAAACAAAGAUGGCUGCUGGGAAUGAGGUGCAUGGAGAGAAGGAGGCUGGGGGAACUGAUGCUGCUAGACUUGAGGAAAAGCAGAAGGAAGAAUCUACAGAAGAGACUUCUGAAUCUGAAAAGGGGGAGGCAUCCAAGGUAAACCAGAAGGAGAAGGUAGUCAAAGACAGCAGCCAACCAGAAUCUGCAGGUGUAUCUGAGACCAAAGAUGAUGUUUCUGGAAAACCAGAAGACCUACCGAGAAAAGAAGGGGGAAAGGCUGAUGUUUUGAAGAAAAAUGCCAAGGAAGAGGGUCGAAGUGGCAGCACUUCUGAUGAGCCUCUUUCACCAGAACCUGAGGAGGAAGAGGAGGAAUUCUGGCCAGAAUUCCCUCCCCAUUCUCCUGAAGCAAGUCCACAAAGCCCAACCGAGCUCAAAGGUUUGGAGACAGGUGGCAUUACUCCACCAGCUACCGCUCCAGAAGCUGCUCCAGCGGAAAUCACCAGCCCUGAAGCUGCCCUGAAGGGAGAGAAAGAGGCCUCUCUGCUGCACCAGAGGAAGCAGCUGCUGCCAAAGAGAAAAAGAAGAGGCCUGCUUUUGACCGGAGAGAGAUAA
rnacentral:lncRNA from 1 species